CACACAGCGGGGUGUCGGGGACGGGAGCCCGGCGGGGGAGGGGCGGCGGCCGCAGUGCGCGCUCCCGGGAGCGCAGAUGGAGAGGGGGCGCCGGCGCGCGCCGCGGGCUGAGCCUGCGCGCCCCCGCCCGGGGCUAUAAAAGCCUGGGCACCUGCGGCCACGGAGCUUCCGGUCGUCCGGAGCAGCCACUGCACCCUCUCCAGCGCCAGCUCCGCUCGCCA